GAUGAACGCUGGCGGCGUGCCUAAUACAUGCAAGUCGAGCGAAUGGAUUAAGAGCUUGCUCUUAUGAAGUUAGCGGCGGACGGGUGAGUAACACGUGGGUAACCUGCCCAUAAGACUAGGAUAACUCCGGGAAACCGGGGCUAAUACCGGAUAGCAUUUUGAACCGCAUGGUUCGUAAUUGAAAGGCGGCUUCGCCUGUCACUGAUGGAUGGACCCGCGUCGCAUUAGCUAGUGGGUGAGGUAACGGCUCACCAAGGCAACGAUGCGUAGCCGACCUGAGAGGGUGAUCGGCCACACUGGGACUGAGACACGGCCCAGACUCCUACGGGAGGCAGCAGUAGGGAAUCUUCCGCAAUGGACGAAAGUCUGACGGAGCAACGCCGCGUGAGUGAUGAAGGCUUUCGGGUCGUAAAACUCUGUUGUUAGGGAAGAACAAGUGCUAGUUGAAUAAGCUGGCACCUUGACGGUACCUAACCAGAAAGCCACGGCUAACUACGUGCCAGCAGCCGCAGUAA
rnacentral:rRNA from 1 species